CGAGCGGUAACAGGGGUAGCUUGCUACCCGCUGACGAGCGGCGGACGGGUGAGUAAUGCAUAGGAAUCUGCCCGAUAGUGGGGGAUAACCUGGGGAAACCCAGGCUAAUACCGCAUACGUCCUACGGGAGAAAGGGGGCUCCGGCUCCCGCUAUUGGAUGAGCCUAUGUCGGAUUAGCUAGUUGGUAAGGUAAUGGCUUACCAAGGCAACGAUCCGUAGCUGGUCUGAGAGGAUGAUCAGCCACAUCGGGACUGAGACACGGCCCGAACUCCUACGGGAGGCAGCAGUGGGGAAUAUUGGACAAUGGGGGCAACCCUGAUCCAGCCAUGCCGCGUGUGUGAAGAAGGCCCUCGGGUUGUAAAGCACUUUCAGCGAGGAAGAACGCCUAUCGGUUAAUACCCGGUAGGAAAGACAUCACUCGCAGAAGAAGCACCGGCUAACUCCGUGCCAGCAGCCGCGGUAAUACGGAGGGUGCAAGCGUUAAUCGGAAUUACUGGGCGUAAAGCGCGCGUAGGUGGCUUGAUAAGCCGGUUGUGAAAGCCCCGGGCUCAACCUGGGAACGGCAUCCGGAACUGUCAGGCUAGAGUGCAGGAGAGGAAGGUAGAAUUCCCGGUGUAGCGGUGAAAUGCGUAGAGAUCGGGAGGAAUACCAGUGGCGAAGGCGGCCUUCUGGACUGACACUGACACUGAGGUGCGAAAGCGUGGGUAGCAAACAGGAUUAGAUACCCUGGUAGUCCACGCCGUAAACGAUGUCGACCAGCCGUUGGGUGCCUAGAGCACUUUGUGGCGAAGUUAACGCGAUAAGUCGACCGCCUGGGGAGUACGGCCGCAAGGUUAAAACUCAAAUGAAUUGACGGGGGCCCGCACAAGCGGUGGAGCAUGUGGUUUAAUUCGAUGCAACGCGAAGAACCUUACCUACCCUUGACAUCUACAGAAGCCGGAAGAGAUUCUGGUGUGCCUUCGGGAACUGUAAGACAGGUGCUGCAUGGCUGUCGUCAGCUCGUGUUGUGAAAUGUUGGGUUAAGUCCCGUAACGAGCGCAACCCUUGUCCUUAUUUGCCAGCGAGUAAUGUCGGGAACUCUAAGGAGACUGCCGGUGACAAACCGGAGGAAGGUGGGGACGACGUCAAGUCAUCAUGGCCCUUACGGGUAGGGCUAC
rnacentral:rRNA from 1 species